CACCCGAUGGCGCAUGGUGCGCGCCCGCUUCUCUUACCUUGUAUCCGUUGGCCGAGUAUAAGCAGGAGGUCCCCGCUCGAUUCGGGGUCGGGUGA